rnacentral:lncRNA from 1 species
UUUGGGAGUGGGUGGCAAAGAUGGCAUUGCAACAAUAAAGGAAUCAAUAGAGAUGGAUAUGGAUGUCUGGAAAUCCAAAUUAUCUGUAUCCGUAAAAAAUGCUAAUAUCGAUAUCCGUAUUUGUAUCUAAUUUCAAUAUAGAUUUUCAAUAUAGAUGUCAAAUGGAUGUGUCCGAAUCUGAUUUUUAUCGAUCCAAUUCCUAAUUCUUAUUUGAAAAAAGUGUAGAAUAUCCAAUAUUAUCCAUAUCCUUGAA